ACCAGCUGUCCCGCCCGGGGCAACGCUGGGUAGCUAUGUCGGGAAUGGAUAACUGCUGAAAGCAUCUAAGCGGGAAGCCAACCCCAAGAUAAGGAAUCAUGGAUCCCUCGAAGACUACGAGGUUGAUAGGCUCUAGGUGGAAGCACAGCAAUGUGUUGAGCCGAGGAGUACUAAUAGAUUCUACAGACACCAUU
rfam:Candidatus Ryanbacteria bacterium RIFCSPHIGHO2_02_FTLL_45_13b rifcsphigho2_02_scaffold_1326, whole genome shotgun sequence.